rnacentral:rRNA from 1 species
GAUGAACGCUGGCGGCGUGCCUAAUACAUGCAAGUAGAACGCUGAAGGAAGGAGCUUGCUCUUUCCGGAUGAGUUGCGAACGGGUGAGUAACGCGUAGGUAACCUGCCUGGUAGCGGGGGAUAACUAUUGGAAACGAUAGCUAAUACCGCAUAACAGUAGAUGUUGCAUGAUAUCUACUUAAAAGGUGCAAUUGCACCACUACCAGAUGGACCUGCGUUGUAUUAGCUAGUUGGUGAGGUAACGGCUCACCAAGGCGACGAUACAUAGCCGACCUGAGAGGGUGAUCGGCCACACUGGGACGGAGACACGGCCCAGACUCCUACGGGAGGCAGCAGUAGGGAAUCUUCGGCAAUGGACGGAAGUCUGACCGAGCAACGCCGCGUGAGUGAAGAAGGGUUUCGGAUCGUAAAGCUCUGUUGUAAGAGAAGAACGAGUGUGAGAGUGGAAAGUUCACACUGUGACGGUAUCUUACCAGAAAGGGACGGCUAACUACGUG